rnacentral:rRNA from 1 species
UGAGAUUAGCGGCGGACGGGUAGRURCMCGUGGGUMCYGCCCAUAGACUGGGAUAACUCCGGGAAACCGGGGCUAUACCGGAUACAUUUUGAACCGCAUGGUUCGAAAUUGAAAGGCGGCUUCGGCUGUCACUUAUGGAUGGACCCGCGUCGCAUUAGCUAGUUGGUGAGGUAACGGCUCACCAAGGCAACGAUGCGUAGCCGACCUGAGAGGGUGAUCGGCCACACUGGGACUGAGACACGGCCCAGACUCCUACGGGAGGCAGCAGUAGGGAAUCUUCCGCAAUGGACGAAAGUCUGACGGAGCAACGCCGCGUGAGUGAUGAAGGCUUUCGGGUCGUAAAACUCUGUUGUUAGGGAAGAACAAGUGCUAGUUGAAUAAGCUGGCACCUUGACGGUACCUAACCAGAAAGCCACGGCUAACUACGUGCCAGCAGCCGCGGUAAUACGUAGGUGGCAAGCGUUAUCCGGAAUUAUUGGGCGUAAAGCGCGCGCAGGUGGUUUCUUAAGUCUGAUGUGAAAGCCACGGCUCACCGUGGAGGUAUGGAAMUGGAACUGAGUGCAAGAGAAGUGAUCAU